UAAAACAAUAAGGGUAUGGCAAAUGUUUGAAAGGAAAAUUGAAUGUGUUGAAGUAAUAACAACCAAAGACUCCAUUCAAAGUCUGGAAACUUGUGGUGAAAUGAUUUUUGCAGUUACACACAACCAUAAACUUAAGGUCUUUGAUUCAUCUAGAAAGGCGAAAGAUAUAUUCAAGAACAAGAACGUGAAAUGCAUAAGGGCUAGCCAAGUGAAAC